AGGGGCUUAGGAUAGCACCAGACCGGAAGCCUUCAAAGCUUUUAGCGGGGGUGAGAAUCCCCCAGCCCCUG
rnacentral:tRNA from 1 species